rnacentral:rRNA from 1 species
AGGAUAAACGCUGGCGGCGUGCCUAACACAUGCAAGUCGAACGUCCUACGCAAGUAGGGAGUGGCGGACGGGUGAGUAACACGUGGGCAAUCUACCUUUCGGUGAGGAAUACCGGCGAGAAAUCGCCGACAAUACCGCAUACGCUUCGCAAGAAGCAAAGUCGCAAGACGCCGGAGGAGGAGCCUGCGCCCGAUUAGCUGGUUGGUGGAGUAAUGGUCUACCAAGGCGACGAUCGGUAGCUGGUCUGAGAGGAUGAUCAGCCACACUGGGAUUGAGAACGGCCCAGACUCCUACGGGGGGCAGCAGUGAGGAAUUUUCGUCAAUGGGGGAAACCCUGAACGAGCAACGCCGCGUGCAGGAAGACACUUUUCGGAGUCGUAAACUGCUUUUCGUCGGGGUACGAGUAACGGACGGUACCCGAGGAAUCAGCCCCGGCUAACUACGUGCCAGCAGCCGC